rnacentral:rRNA from 1 species
UACGUAGGGUGCAAGCGUUAUCGGAAUUACUGGGCGUAAAGCGUGCGCAGGCGGUUUUGUAAGUCUGACGUGAAAGCCCCGGGCUUAACCUGGGAAUUGCGUUGGAGACUGCAAGGCUUGAAUCUGGCAGAGGGGGGUAGAAUUCCACGUGUAGCAGUGAAAUGCGUAGAGAUGUGGAGGAACACCGAUGGCGAAGGCAGCCCCCUGGGUCAAGAUUGACGCUCAUGCACGAAAGCGUGGGGAGCAAACAGG